GAGCGGAGAUAUAUGGAGCUUGCUUUAUAUAACUUAGCAGCGAACGGGUGAGUAACACGUAGAUAAUCUAUCCUAUACUGGGGGAUAGCCCGAUGAAAGUUGGAUUAAUACCGCAUAUAGCUAUAUAGUUGCAUGAUUAUGUAGUGAAAGAUUUAUCGGUAUAGGAGGAGUCUGCGGCACAUUAGCUAGUAGGUGAGGUAAAGGCUUACCUAGGCGACGAUGUGUAGCCGGUCUGAGAGGAUGAACGGCCACAAUGGAACUGAGACACGGUCCAUACUCCUACGGGAGGCAGCAGUGGGGAAUAUUGCACAAUGGGGGAAACCCUGAUGCAGCAACGCCGCGUGAGUGAAGAAGGUUUUCGGAUUGUAAAGCUCUGUUAGCAGGGAAGAGGAAGGACGGUACCUGCAGAGGAAGCCACGGCUAACUACGUGCCAGCAGCCGCGGUAAUACGUAGGUGGCAAGCGUUGUUCGGAAUAACUGGGCGUAAAGGAUGCGUAGGCGGUUAAACAAGUUAUAUGUUAAAUAUAUAGGCUUAACCUGUAGAAAGCAUAUAAAACUGUUUAACUAGAGUGCAGGAGAGGUAAGUGGAAUUCCUAGUGUAGCGGUGAAAUGCGUAGAGAUUAGGAAGAACACCAGUGGCGAAGGCGACUUACUGGACUGUAACUGACGCUGAGGCAUGAGAGCAUGGGGAGCAAACAGGAUUAGAUACCCUGGUAGU
rnacentral:rRNA from 1 species